rnacentral:rRNA from 1 species
AUUGAACGCUGGCGGCAUGCUUUACACAUGCAAGUCGGACGGCAGCACAGAGAAGCUUGCUUCUUGGGUGGCGAGUGGCGAACGGGUGAGUAAUAUAUCGGAACGUACCGAGCAGUGGGGGAUAACUAAUCGAAAGAUUAGCUAAUACCGCAUAUUUUCUGAGGAAGAAAGCAGGGGACCAUUUGGCCUUGCGCUGUUUGAGCGGCCGAUAUCUGAUUAGCUAGUUGGUGGGGUAAAGGCCUACCAAGGCGACGAUCAGUAGCGGGUCUGAGAGGAUGAUCCGCCACACUGGGACUGAGACACGGCCCAGACUCCUACGGGAGGCAGCAGUGGGGAAUUUUGGACAAUGGGCGCAAGCCUGAUCCAGCCAUGCCGCGUGUCUGAAGAAGGCCUUCGGGUUGUAAAGGACUUUUGUCAGGGAAGAAAAGGGCGGGGUUAAUACCCCUGUCUGAUGACGGUACCUGAAGAAUAAGCACCGGCUAACUACGUGC